rnacentral:rRNA from 1 species
AUGGCCGGUCUCGGGAAGGCAGUCGAUGCCGGCGCGGCCAAGAAGGCGACGUCGAGGAUCUCCAAGGCCGGGCUACAGUUUUUCCUCGGCAGGAUCGCCAGAUUCCUCAAGGCCGGCAAGUACACAAGUUUCUCGGCGCACGAGUACCUCGCCACUGAGGUACUGGAACUGGCCGGCAACACUGCCAGGCACAACAACAAGACCCGUAUCAUGCCCCGCCACAUUCAGCUCGCCAUGCGCAAUGAUGCUGAGCUGACCAAGUUGCUCGGCGGUGCCACCUGUAGCUGUAGGUGUGGCUCUCGCCGCGUGGAUACAUUUCAGAGCUGCAACAUCCUUCCAAGGAACACAAGACGUACGGACAUGAGCUUGGAGCAACUCCGUCCGUGUCGGCUCCUUUUCAUUUAUUUAUUUUGUGAAUUCCUUCUAAUUUAUUCAUGA